AACGCACCUUGCGCUCCUUGGUAUUCCGAGGAGCAUGCCUGUUUGAGUGUCAUUAAAUUCUCAACCUCACCAGUUUUGCUGUGUGAUGGCUUGGAUGUGGGGGUUGCAGGUCCACUCUGUGGUCUGCUCCUCUGAAAUGUAUUAGUGGGUUAGGCCCCUAAUCUAUUGGUGUGAUAAUUAUCUACGCCGUGGAUUGGAUGGCUGUUAUAGACCUGCUUCUAACCGUCCCUCGCAGGACAACUUUGACAUUUUUGACCUCAAAUCAGGUAAGACUACCCGCUGAACUUAA
rnacentral:misc_RNA from 1 species